rnacentral:lncRNA from 1 species
GUUUCAACAGCGCCUUGCAACUCAGGCUCUUUCUUCCUGUUUCCUGAUGUGAAUGCUAUGCUUUGACCAUAUUGUUUUUCUAUAGUUCAAGAGAAAUGGGUUUGCCAUUCGGGUUGGAAAAUCUGAGUGUUCUUAGAUUUGAGCUAGAAAUGAUCCUGCUGGACCACUUGCGAAGCUGGUAGUUGGAUCUGUAGAAAGUGGUGGAUGUCUCUCUCUGGGUGAAGGGAUGGGAGCCUGAAGGAGUCACUAAGGAGAAGAGUAACUUGCAGCACCAGGAGAUGGCUCCCAAAGCUAGAGAAGAGCGCCCUAGCACUCCAUGAGUAGCGUGAGUCUGACUGCGUGGGGCACCCGUGGUCCUUUGGAUGUUGGUUCUUAGUGUUCUUUUCCACUGACCUGGGCUUGUGCUGCUCCUGAGCCAGUAGGGGCUCCAGACCCAAGGAUCCAUUUCCUUGCUGAACAUGAAGCUCCACCCUUUACUUUGUACAUUCCUCCUCAUCCGAGUGAUCAGUUUCCAGCCUGCCCUUUACCCUCUCUCUCCAGGACACCACCUUCUAAGAAGGAAAAAGCAGAGGUUCUUGAAGACCAUACUUUGGGCCUGCUCUGUUUUUCUCUCUUAACCCUGUACAUUAUUUGUGUUCUUCACCCCUUCGGUCCAUGUCCAUCUGCUGAUUUGCAUAAUGAACUGGACAGUGUCCAAGUGGUUCCCUACUAACCCCAGCUCUGGGAGCCUAGCUGUCUUCCUUAUCUCUGGUGCUUCUGACGCCUGUGAGAUGGUCCUGUUAAAAGGAGUAGGAACCAAAAGGAGGAGAGUCCUCCUCAGCAGAGCUCACUUCAACUGGAAUUGAGGUUGCACACUGUGAUUUCACAACCAAAAGCCAAAAGGAGCCGGCCACCCCAGGCCUUGGGCAACCAGCCUUCCUCAGAUAGGCUUGCCCGAAACCAGCAUGAUGCUUCCAAGAGCCCUGCUCUGCCCCUCGUGGCAUGGAUCCUUUCCCUGGUAUGGACUUAAGUCUCUGGGGAAGAAAAGUGGGUGGGGCUACCAGCAUCCCAGUUUGGAAGGUAGAGGAGUUUGCCACCAGCAGCUUAUAAACUGGAAAUGCUGGUCUCUGCCAGCCUCUUCAGCCACCCUCAUUUAUCCCCAAGGAGAUGCGAAAUCCUUCCAGUACCAGGAUGAACAGACAGACCACUGGAAGGGCUGGUGUGCAUGGACUUCGGUUCAGAAGAGAACUUAGAUCUUCCAGGGAACUGCAGUGUCGUGGCGUCUGAUUUGUAUGUCACAUUUGUGUAAAAUGGUAUGUUCUUUAAAAUGGUGUUGAUAACUGGAAUAUUGUAUGUAUGCUUGAAGAUGCUUUGUGUGAACCUAAGACUCACUCAGCUGAUGUUGGAUUGGGGAAAAUCCAAAGCACAACUUCAAAAUAAAAUACAUUUUUAGGUUUCGCUGCUGCAAGUC